rnacentral:tRNA from 1 species
UGAGGGUUGGCCGAGUGGUUCAAGGCGGCAGACUUAAGAUCUGUUGGAUUUGUUGUCCGCGCGAGUUCGAACCUCGCAUCCUUCA